rnacentral:rRNA from 1 species
UGGGGAAUAUUGGACAAUGGGCGCAAGCCUGAUCCAGCCAUGCCGCGUGAGUGAUGAAGGCCCUAGGGUUGUAAAGCUCUUUCACCGGUGAAGAUAAUGACGGUAACCGGAGAAGAAGCCCCGGAUAACUUCGUGCCAGCAGCCGCGGUAAUACGAAGGGGGCUAGCGUUGUUCGGAUUUACUGGGCGUAAAGCGCACGUAGGCGGACUUUUAAGUCAGGGGUGAAAUCCCGGGGCUCAACCCCGGAACUGCCUUUGAUACUGGAAGUCUUGAGUAUGGUAGAGGUGAGUGGAAUUCCGAGUGUAGAGGUGAAAUUCGUAGAUAUUCGGAGGAACACCAGUGGCGAAGGCGGCUCACUGGACCAUUACUGACGCUGAGGUGCGAAAGCGUGGGGAGCAAACAGG